rnacentral:tRNA from 1 species
GGAGUCCUUGCUCAGGGCUAGAGCAUCUGCUUGGCACGAGGAAGGUCCCGGGUUCGAUCCCCAGCAUCUCCG